rnacentral:rRNA from 1 species
CUCUUACUUCCAAUCAGUGAAAUUGACCUUCCCGUGAAGAGGCGGGAAUGCACAAAUAAGACGAGAAGACCCUAUGGAGCUUUAACUAACCAACCCAAAGAGAAUAGAUUUAACCAUUAAGGAAUAACAACAAUCUCCAUGAGUUGGUAGUUUCGGUUGGGGUGACCUCGGAGAAUAAAAAAUCCUCCGAGCGAUUUUAAAGACUAGACCCACAAGUCAAAUCACUCUAUCGCUCAUUGAUCCAAAAACUUGAUCAACGGAACAAGUUACCCUAGGGAUAACAGCGCAAUCCUAUUCAAGAGUCCAUAUCGACAUAGGGUUUACGAACUCGAUGUUGGAUCAGGACAUCCUGAUGGUGCAACCGCUAUCAAAGGUUCGUUUGUUCAACGAUUAAAGUCCUACGUGAUCUGAGUUCAGACCGGAGUAAUCCAGGUCGGUUUCUAUCUAUUACGUAUUUCUCCCAGUACGAAAGGACAGAGAAAUAAAGGCNACUUUAAAUCAAGCGCCU